AAAUGUAGCCUAACGUUACUUAAUUUUACGCAUGAGUGUGAUUUACAGUAGUUAAAACUGGCAUUGAAAAGUACAAAUGUCUAAUCCUUUUACAAGGCUUUCGCUUAGGCGAUUUGCGUACGGGGAUGCCAAGUAGGAACUGUUGUUACUAGCACAAUUUACUCAUCGGAUGAUAAUGAAUGUAGCACACAAACAUGGCUGUCUACUGUGGUCGAGCGUGCAGAAAAUAUUUACUUCAUCUUGCACAUGAUAACGUCGAUUUUAGAUUACCGGAAAUAAAAGCAUUGCUGUCUCUAAGGAACCGUCCAUUUGAUACAUCAGAAACAUUCAGCGAAAAGUCUCCCUUUUGGCAACUGAAAGGCUUAUCUGAAGAUGAUAUACGGAGUGUCAUGUCCAGAACAGUUUGUGGAAAGUAGGUUGUAGUAUUUUAUUACACUUACAUUACAUGUAAAAUGCUCAAGAUGACAAACUAUUAUAAA